rnacentral:rRNA from 1 species
GAGGGCGGGGGUGCGCGCGGAGGUGGUUUUGGGCUCGCUUGGGUUAGCCAUCCCAAAACCUGGAGGGGGGCGGGCGGCGGCCGCGGCGGCUAGUGUCGUUCCUUCCUGCCUUCGCUCUCCGGGCGCCCGAGUCCGUCGUCCGUCCGCCCUCCUUACCGCGUCAGUGACCUCGAGGACGAUUAGGUCAAGGACUACGGCCUGUUGCUGCGCGCCGCGGUCCGCCUCCUCGUCUAGGCCGCCGACCGCGCCCUGGGCGUCCAGCACGGCCGCGAGCAAGUGGUGGAGGCGUGGCGGUUCUGGGGGUUGCAGGCGGUCGAGCGGCGGCACGAGGAGGCGUUCUUCUAGUGGAGGGUGACCGGGUUCGAAGGUGGUGUGCGGUUCCGAAGGGAUUUCGUCCGGGAGUAGCUGAGGUAGUGGGAGCUGUUGUCAGUAGAACAUUCCUCUCGAUCACGUUUACAGCACUCGUAAUAACGAUUCAUACGACAGGGACGUCCUCUCACCGUUCUCGACAAUGGCAAGGAAAAGGUUACGUCGGUUUCAGGUGUUCUUCUUGUAUCCCUUCAUCGAAAUUAAGAAAAAUCGAGGGAAUGACUUUGAUAACCCUGAUGCAAAGUUAGAGUAGACUUACUAAACGUUGGAUAAAAUGACUUUACGGACGUUCUACUCUGGUCGAGAGCUCAGUCUUAGCGACGGGAUUUCCGGCAACCUAGGAAGUAUCUCAUACAGUUACUUCCUCCUCUGUAACAUUUCUACAAGGCUCUGAAACAAGGGUCAUAGAACUUACAUAGUUCCGUUACAGAACGAUUACCGCUACUACUACAACGAAGGUAACGGAAACUUUAUAAGCUGCUUGAUUAACUUAGAGGACGUGGUGAAGAACCUCUAAGUCACUCUAGUUAACACGUCAAGAGCGAACUUCAAACGAGUUUGGUUCUAUACCUUUAUUUAUAUUCCGUUGUCCGAUAAGUCUAUUAGAGUACCGAACAUUUUAAAUUUCGUAGAAAGAAUUUUUUCUUGUUCGACUAACAUGGAUAAGAUGUUCAAUACACGGGGAACGAAUGUCUUUGUCGAUUACUUCUACUUCUGAGACUAAAUCGCCGUCUAGCAAGACGUCGGCUUCAGUAACUAUGUUACCGAUAGUUGAAUGGUUCUGUGCAAAAACCAGGUCAAGAACUUAAGCGAAGACACUUAAAAGCAGUACAAUUAGGGUUCAUAGCACUCCGACGACAAUGAAGUGACCCACAACAGAGUCUUCCAACAAGACUUGUAAAAUUCCUAUUCAAUCUUCUUACAGAGUUUCAACAAAAUCUUCGAAAUUUCCUAGUUCUCGUUUACCAAUCUCCGCGACGUAGUAAACGAGAACCAGUCAAACGACUUGUGAACGUCGGUCUUUAAAAUAGAGUGAUACUCUCACAUGAAGGUACGUAGAAUUUACGUGAACUUCUAGGUAGUCUACUUCAAUUCCUCUUUAGAAUAAUACGUGACCGCCGCAAGACACUUCUAUACCCACUUCUAUAGGAUGGUAUAGACCUUGGAAACUAUACGUCUAAUCAAUAUAGAAACGUCUCGUCAGGAGCCUUGGACGUUCUCUGUACGUACAGACGUUAACCGAGACAUCGUCGACGACGUCUUGUCCGUAAAUAGGGUAUACGUCUCUUCCAAGAACUUUACUACUUUCCGAAAUACCACGAGUGAUUCCUACUUCUAAACACACGUGCUCGAUCCCGAUGACUCCAACAACCCUAUCAUCGCUACCGUCAACCGUCUUGGUCUUACCUUCGGUAUAAUGGAGGAAAAUAACUCCGACGAUAAAGACCAAAACCUAACCUAAUAUCACUCGAUUCCCUCAUGUGAGUACCCAAAAAAUCGUUGCAACGACUCUAAGACCUACUAUCAAAGAGUGUCAUAGAGGGAGUACAACACGGAGAACGUAAAAGGAGCACGUUGAACCUACUACCAAGACGACACCUGUAACUACUACGACUACCACAACUGUUACCUAAAUCACCACAAAGGAGACUACUACUACUACUACUACUCGGUUCUCAAUCUUUAUAGUCGCACUCCUGACCUCACAAUCUACUCUUUCGACGACGUUGAGUCCGAUAACCUAAAAAACGUGAAGUGCGUUUCUCACGGAUACGGGGCAUGAACCUCCUCAGCAACUUUUAAAAUUAGUUCGUGUCACCCAUAAAAGUACUUCUACAGUCCGAAGUCCGAUAAUAAAGGAAUUUUGUGUAGGAUUGACGUAAUUCCCGUUAUGGACGUGUAGGACUAUAUGAUCUCUUUGUCUUCCUACAAGAACUAUGAUAAUACUCGUAGAUAUAGUUCUGGUACUGUCUCCUACUGCUAUUUCUUCAUCAACGUGUUCGAACGUACUCACAUCGACUAUAGUACUUUCUAACACCAAAACGACGACAACUUGAAAUAUACGGUGCCGAACGACUCCGUUGUGAACGAGACAACGCAGUUCUUAGUACGACAGUCGUUCAGCUCAGCCUACCGCUUCUACUACCACUGUAGCUAGUACUACUUCAGGAGUACCUGCGUCAAAGUCUAGAAAACGGACGAAAACGUUUUCACUACGCUAGAAUGAAACUAGGAUAGAAACGCUUCAAUAAACUGGGGGAUUACUUUAAACGAUUUAGAGGUGUAGGAGGGGUUCUGUUCUGAUACCAACAGCGGUGAGAUCGACUCCAGCGAGUUCUUUACCCACGAGGUUAAAGACGAAUACAACUAUUCUAUUACGGAAACCGCAACUUUCUUGAACGUAGAAGACUCCGAUGCUUAUCCUCUUUACGGCGAAAGACACAACCGCUCGAUACGUUCUUGUCGCCACGACGUCGUGACUUUAUAAUGGGCCUAUAUGACGUCCCAGACGUGGCAAACAAACGAUUAAGGCUUGUUCUGGAACGUCAAUCUCUAUUACGCCGGCCACGAUAACGAUCUUACUAUUACCACGUUGGAGUCAGUUAAGGAGAGUUGGUCCAAGAAGGUCACAAAUAGUUUCGAAACGGUGAUUUUCUUCUAGUGCUUCUUAGUUACCGACAGAUAUCGACGAAUACAUUAAACAAUGAUAGUAGUGUAGGGGUCUAGGAGUGAGAUCACGGACUACACUAUGUACAGAAACGGGUUCACCAUCAUAGGGGUCUACUCUCACUACUUCAGUUUUGUUGAUAACCGUUCCGACAAAGAGUAAACUAUAGGCAAAUACCAGUCGUCUACGUCGGUUAUGAUUCACGAGAUGGUGGACGAGUACGCUUACGUAACCGUCGUAAACGGUCGUCUUCUACUAGAAGUCCCUUUGAUAAUGGAAGCUAAAAACACACGGCGGACUCACAAAAGAGUUCUAACGGGAAACUACUUUCCAAGAAGCCCAUACCAACCUCAGUGGGUUCAAAACAGUAUAAUCACGGUAAACGACUUCAUAUGACCAAUCGACCUAUAACAAACUAGUCGUUUUGGAGAAAAAGCUCAAUAAUAUCACUGUAACGUAACCUUACCACAAAUGACGCCAACUUCCACGUCAUGAAACCGACAGCCGUCGAAGCCACUCAGGGCACACAUAAGUCCAAGGCAAAAACCGUUGAACAAUAAACAAAGUCAAAACAUUAAGAAACGACCCCACACGUUUAGUAACUACAUGACAACAUAUAUAUUUGUAGAACAGGAUGUUAAAAAACAAAUAGAAACUAAACACCAUGGAUGGUAUAAAACGACACCCG